UAUCCAUACUUCAAGAUUCAAAGACAAUGAGUUCUUGGAAGUACUGCUUUGAAAUAUGGAAGACAUGGAAUAAUGUCUGGUUUUUUUCCUCCUCUGUAUUAUCCUGCAAAUAUAUGAACAUAACUAUUAUGUAUCCUUUUUUUUUUCCUGAUUGCAGGAGAAGCUUUGUGAUUUGAUAUUGAGGAAUAAGAUAGCAAGAAGAUGGGGUUACAAUGAUGGCUAAUAACGUACUCGCCUAUGUUGAGGUCAAGGAUGAGAAGAUAGAAUUGUUGUUGUAGAUAUGAAUUCUUCCUUGAAUUGCACACCUUUUUUUGUUUUUCUUUUUGUUAAGACAUUGUAUACAUCUAUUUUUCUAGUCAAUAUAGUAUGAAUACUGAAUAAUGGAAGAUAGUUCUUGUAUUGUUUCAUGAAUUUGGUUCAGUUUGUAAUGAUGAUUAUUUAUUUUUUUAUCAUUACGAAAUAUUGUGUUUAA